GGAUCCAGACUUUGAUUCUGGCUCAGGAUGAACGCUAGCUACAGGCUUAACACAUGCAAGUCGAGGGGAAACGACAUCGAAAGCUUGCUUUUGAUGGGCGUCGACCGGCGCACGGGUGAGUAACGCGUAUCCAACCUGCCCACCACUUGGGGAUAACCUUGCGAAAGUAAGACUAAUACCCAAUGACGUCUCUAGAAGACAUCUGAAGGAGAUUAAAGAUUUAUCGGUGAUGGAUGGGGAUGCGUCUGAUUAGCUUGUUGGCGGGGUAACGGCCCACCAAGGCAACGAUCAGUAGGGGUUCUGAGAGGAAGGUCCCCCACAUUGGAACUGAGACACGGUCCAAACUCCUACGGGAGGCAGCAGUGAGGAAUAUUGGUCAAUGGGCGAGAGCCUGAACCAGCCAAGUAGCGUGCAGGAUGACGGCCCUAUGGGUUGUAAACUGCUUUUAUAAGGGAAUAAAGUGAGUCUCGUGAGACUUUUUGCAUGUACCUUAUGAAUAAGGACCGGCUAAUUCCGUGCCAGCAGCCGCGGUAAUACGGAAGGUCCGGGCGUUAUCCGGAUUUAUUGGGUUUAAAGGGAGCGUAGGCCGGAGAUUAAGCGUGUUGUGAAAUGUAGAUGCUCAACAUCUGAACUGCAGCGCGAACUGGUUUCCUUGAGUACGCACAAAGUGGGCGGAAUUCGUGGUGUAGCGGUGAAAUGCUUAGAUAUCACGAAGAACUCCGAUUGCGAAGGCAGCUCACUGGAGCGCAACUGACGCUGAAGCUCGAAAGUGCGGGUAUCGAACAGGAUUAGAUACCCUGGUAGUCCGCACGGUAAACGAUGGAUGCCCGCUGUUGGUCUGAAUAGGUCAGCGGCCAAGCGAAAGCAUUAAGCAUCCCACCUGGGGAGUACGCCGGCAACGGUGCAACUCAAAGGAAUUGACGG
rnacentral:rRNA from 1 species